CGUCCAGACUCCUACGGGAGGCAGCAGUGAGGAAUAUUGGUCAAUGGGAGGAAUCCUGAACCAGCCAUGCCGCGUGCAGGACGACGGCUCUACGAGUUGUAAACUGCUUUUGUACCGGGGUAAAAUGCCUUACGAGUAGGGUUUUGAAAGUACGGUACGAAUAAGGAUCGGCUAACUCCGUGCCAGCAGCCGCGGUAAUACGGAGGAUCCGAGCGUUAUCCGGAUUCAUUGGGUUUAAAGGGUGCGUAGGUGGUUUUAUAAGUUAGCGGUGAAAUACCGAUGCUCAACAUCGGGGCUGCCGCUAAUACUGUAGGACUAGAGAUCGGAUGCAGCAGGCGGAAUGUGUAGUGUAGCGGUGAAAUGCAUAGAUAUCGCGCAGAACCCCGAUUGCGAAGGCAGCGUGCCGUGCCGCCACUGACGCUGAGGCACGAAAGCGCGGGGAUCGAACAGGAUUAGAUACCCCAGUA
rnacentral:rRNA from 1 species